AUUCUCCAGACCACCGCAUCCACGGGGGAGCCUGAAACACCCGCGAGCAGCAGCCAGAGAGAGCCGCUGCUUUCCGAACCCCUCCAGGAUCACCGUCCGGCCUCCUCGCCCCGCCCGGCCUGCCCCGAUACCUUGGAGGACACGGUAGCCACCAGCUUGAAGAGGUGGUAUUUGGUGUAUUAUAUUGAAGUGAAAGCCAAGCUGCACACAAUACAUAAAUAAUACAAUACGAAUUGAGAUUGAUCAUGAAGAUUUUUUGUGGAAGAGCCAAUCCAACUACUGGUUCGAUGGAGUGGUUAGAAGAGGGUGAGGAUUAUGAUUAUCACCAGGAGAUUGCAAGGUCACGCUAUGCAGAUAUGCUUCAUGAUAAGGACAGGAAUGUGAAAUACUACCAAGGCAUUCGUGCUGCAGUGAGCAGAGUAAAAGAGAGAGGUGAGAAAGCAAUUGUACUGGAUAUAGGGACUGGCACAGGGCUCCUGUCCAUGAUGGCAGCUUCAGCUGGGGCAGAUUUCUGCUAUGCCAUUGAGGUGUUCAAGCCCAUGGCUAAUGCUGCUGUGAAGAUAGUGGAGAAAAAUGGUUUUUCAGACAAGAUCAAAGUAAUCAACAAGCAUUCCACUGAAGUCACAGUUGGCCCAGAUGGAGAUAUGCAGUGUCGGGCAAACAUCCUGGUAACAGAAUUAUUUGAUACAGAGCUGAUUGGAGAAGGAGCUUUACCAACCUAUGAGCACGCACACAAAUAUCUUGUACAGGAGGGAUGUGAGGCAGUGCCUCACAGGGCAACAGUGUAUGUCCAGUUAGUGGAAUCCAGAAGAAUGUGGUCCUGGAAGAAACUGUUUCCUGUUCAUGUUGAAGCAGAGGAUGGUGAAAAAAUUCUUUUUCCGCCUUCAGAAAUGGAGAACUGUCCAGGUGUUCCUUCUGUUUGUGAUAUCCAGCUGAACCAGAUGCCUUCAAGUGACUUCAGUACCCUUAGUGAUGUGGUGACAAUGUUCAGUGUGGAUUUCAGUAAGCCAGUACAGAGUGCUUCUACCUACUAUAGAGUGCAGCUGGAGCCUGUGAAAUCCGGCAAGGCACAAAUUGUACUUUCCUGGUGGGAUAUUGACAUGGACCCCUCUGGGAUGAUAAAUUGCACAAUGGCUCCCUACUGGGUAAAACCCACUUCUGCUUUGCAGUGGAGAGAUCACUGGAUGCAGUGUGUUUAUUUUCUUCCACGUGAGGAGCCAGUUCUGCAGGGUGAGAAGUUGUACCUGACUGCCUCUCGUGACGAGUACUCUGUGUGGUACAACCUGCAGAAAGCCAGAGAAGGGGAGAAUAAAGCAGAUGAAGAGGAGCAUAAAGCAGAUGUUUGUGUGGAGAGUCCUGUCUGUAGGUGUCGCGCUCAUCUGCUUUGGAACAGGCCCCGCUUUGGGGAGCUGAAUGAUCAGAACCGAACACUCCAAUACAUCAAGUCCUUGAGGAAGGUUCUGAAAACAGAUAGUGUUUGCCUUUGUAUCAGUGAUGGCAGUCUGCUGCCUGUGCUGGCUCACUAUCUUGGAGCAAAGCAGGUGUUUACAUUAGAAAACUCUGGUGUAUCCUGUUCUGUCAUGGAAAAAUUUUUUAAAGCAAAUCAUCUUGAAGAUAAAAUUAAAAUAAUAGAAGCACGGCCUGAGUUGCUGAAGCCUUCUCAUUUGGAAGAUAAAAAGAUUUCUGUCCUUGUGGGAGAGCCGUUUUUCACAACAAGUUUGUUGCCAUGGCAUAACCUGUAUUUCUGGUAUGCCAGGACAGCUGUGAGCAGUCACCUUGCCAGCAAUGUCACUGUCCUACCUCAGUCUGCUUCUUUGCACAUGAUGAUUGUGGAGUUCCAGGAUUUAUGGAGAAUACGGAGUCCAUGUGGCACCUGUGAAGGUUUUGAUGUCCAGACUAUGGAUGAUAUGAUUAAAGAUUCUCUGAAUUUUAGGGAAUCCAAGGAAGCAGAGCCUCACCCGCUGUGGGAAUAUCCCUGCAAGUCACUCUCAGACCCACAGGAAGUUUUGACCUUUGACUUCACAAAGGCUGUACCACAGCACUGUCUCAGCACAGAGGGCUCUGUAAAGCUCUUACGGAAAGGAAAGAGCCAUGGAGCAGUUCUGUGGAUGGAAUAUCACCUUGCUGCUGAUAUCUCUGUUAGUACAGGACUGAUGCAACUGCCAAAUGAAAAGGGAAACUGUGAAUGGAAUCCCCACUGCAAGCAAGCUGUUUAUUUCUUCAGCUCUGUUAUUGAAUCAGAAAUUCUGUCAGACCCUACUGCUGUCACAUAUGCUAUAAAUUUUGACACAAAGACAGGAGAGAUUGCCAUGGAUUUUAAGCUAUUAUAAAAUACUUUUCUCUUGCCCAAAAUAAUAAAUCAUAAUAAACAUACAAUAAUUUUUUUUUUGUACAGCAGAGGGUUUCUUUCAUUGUGCUCAGAGAGCACACUGUUCUUUAACAUACUUCUAACCUUUUUGGGUUUGUUUUCAAAAUACAGUUAGUGAGGUAGAGAGGAACUAUUUCUCAGGAACAGGUAUUCUUGUCAGGGUUUAUGUACAUAUAUACACAUACUUUUCAUCAUCUCUUUCAGGGUUUUACAUAGUGUUAAGGAGGUACAAAACAGUUGACUUGACAAUAGCAGCUGGUUAUUGCAUGGCAUAUCAUUGGAUGAGGACACCAGGCAUUAUCAGGCAUAAUCUGACAUUAGAGAAAAGUGAGUUAAACACAUCUCUUUCUAGGCUGUGCUCUUGUCACCAUAAAAUGGGAAAUAAUCUCCAGACUGCACAAAAAGAAAUCCCAUGUCAAAUUUCAUAUGUAUAUUACUACACUUAAUAGGGAGCAGGAAACAGUUUAGCUGUUCUCAGACUUGCCUAAGUUGUGGCUGAUUAUAAGCUGAAAUGGCCAGUGAAUUAAACUGUGGUGCACUGAUGAUGUAAAUAAUACCUGCCAGUUUGGCUAAGUUGUAAGGUGCUCUGCAGUAGUACAUGUCCACUACUGAGGUUUUCUUAGUUGCUCUCCAGAUCAUGUUGGCUGCAGUGGCAUUGUGUGAAAUGAGUUCUGCUUUAGAUGAACAAUCAAUUGGUGUAUCUGUUUUGUAUGUGUGAUCUGUUAAGGUUUUGAUAGAAAAUCAAUGUCCUUGCCAGUCCCAAAUUAUGUCAGCCAUCCACAGGGAUAACAGUUACCAAAGCUACUCCUAUUUCCUCUGAGCAGCAGCUUUAGCAAAGUGAAAGGAAUAUCAUAAAGAAGCCAGAAGCCUCCCCUACUCUGCUUUCCUGGUCACCAUAAUUCAUCAUUCUUCUCUGCCAAAGGAGCACUGAGGGGAGCAGCCCCAGGCGUGUGAGCAAAAGCUGGACUGGGACCUGCCUGCACUGGGGUUUGUGCCACAGGGUGACAUCAAAUCCAGAAGGGGUGAGUGGCACAGCCCACACAGAGAAGGGCUGCUCAGGCUGUGGUUUUUCUGUAUCUGCCUUAAAACACAAACUUUCAAAACCACCUCCUCAAAAAUCUCCUUCCUUUACUCACGUGCCAAAACCUGAGCUCAUGGUUCUAUGGUUUCCCUUGUAAGAGUUGCAUCAUCAACAUUUGCAGGAGAAACACUGAGCCAUGAACUUGGGUCCUGGCAAGCACAAAGCCUUUAAUUUCACCUUGGGGAAAAAAAAAAAAGUAAGAUAUUUUUGAUCACCCAGGUUUUAAGACUUGACUUAGAUGGGUUUUAUGGGGCAGGAAUUUUUUUAAUGCAUACAUGUGAGUACAGAAUGGGGAAAAAAACAAGGGACAAGGUAUGUUUUAAUGUGUGAGAUUCAGAUGGUUGCUUUGUCAAAUUUUGGGGUUUUGGAAGGACCUGAAUGGUGGCAAGUGGGACCUAGCACUGGCUACAGCUGAUUAGGUCUCAGUAGUGUAAUAAUCUCUAAAUUCAGGUCAAUUGAUACAUUUGAGAUGCCCUUAAUGUGCUGCAACAGAUAACAAUGACAAAACUCUGAGUUGUUUGAUCACAACUUUUCUUACUCCCUGCUUUGGACUUAGGAGGUAUUGAAGGUUCUUAGAGCUUAUUGUAAUUAGUUUAUGAAAGUAAACUUUCUUUUAUGUGUUGCUUUGUUUUAAUAGUAACUCACAUUAAAUUAGCUUAUUGUCUGCACCCCAUUUUGAUUCUCCAAAGAGCUCUUGCAAAUGAUUCACUUACUUAGUUGUUUUUCUAGGUUCAAGGAAGCAAGUUCUUUGAUGGUACUGACCUCUUUCAAAAAUUGUAUUUAUAUUUGGCAAAGCUAAUUAAGUAACAAAAUAGAAGAAACUGCUGAUUAGCUCUGCAGCACUACUGAAAAAAAUAUUAUUUGCAUUAAUUUAAAAUAUGAACUUGUUGCAGCUUCAGUUAUGUCUUAAAAAGUCUGUGAGUGUUGGGUAUUCACUUAACCUGCACAAGUGUUCAUGGAAGGGAAUAUUAAUUUCAAAUACACAAGGGAAGCAAAUUGUAAAUGUGUAUGCAUGUGCUGCUGCUGAGAACUUGCACCUCUCUGUGCACAGGGGAGUGCUGUUUGUCUCUCCAGGAAGCUGACACCAGUACAGGACAGCUGCCUCUGCCGUGCUGGCAGUUAAACGCUGACAAUUUGAGGGAACAUUUCUAAUCAUGACUGAGAUGCACAACUAAACCUCAAUUUUAUCAGAAUAACUGUCUUGAUCCAUAGGUUACAAAGAAAGGGAGGAUAAAAUAAUCUGAACUUUGUUUUUCCCUGCCAGGGCUUCAGUCCCAGACUCCCCAGAGCUGGAGUAUGAAAGCCCUCUGUUGGUUGUGUGGUGCUGACCCAGCAGCAGCGAGCAAAGGAGCACCAAGAGCAGUGACUGCAAGGGAGCCAUAAAGAAAAACUCCCUCAUCCCAAACCUUGAGGGACCAUCUCUCAUUCUGGCCAGAAGUACCUGAGCUAAGGAAGACUUUUCUCACUGGUACUGAAGUCUUUAGCCCAGAACUGUGAGCCUCUGUCUAGCAGAGGAGACUGGAAAAAAUUGCAUUCAAAUUUUUUCUUAGUUGUGCUGGCAUGUGCUCUCCUAGGCUGUCCUCUGCUCAGGGUUCAGAGGUAAAAAUGGCCUUAUUCCAGUGCUUAACUUAAAGAUGGCAAUCAUCUGUCAGAUGGGAUUAUUUGUGUGCAUUUCUUGAAGCCCUUCUGAGCAGAAGCUUGUGUGUCUUCCAGGACUGUGGCAGGGCCCAGGUUGUUACAUCUUGCUAAUUAAUUGUUUGAUAAUUAUAAGUAUGACUUGCUCAUUAUUUGUACUAAGUCUGUUGUUCUAGUCUGAUGUUUAAUGUACACUGCCCUUAACACAAAAGAGACAGUUAAGAAUGAGUUGUUCUGCUGCUUUUAUGGCCUAUUUAUUUUAGUAAUGUGAAAUAAUUUUAUUUAUAAACCAGAGAAGAAUGCUGAUGAAGAAAUAAUUCUCUGGAUAGCUGACAUUGCCAAUUUAAAUGUCUUUAAAGCUUUAUCAGGAUUUAUUUUUGCAAAAUUUGAGAAUGGAUCAAUUCUAGGCAGUACCCUGGUUUGCUGUGUAUAUGAACAGUAUUUGUUACCUAGAUAGUGCCUCACAGCCACUGUACUAUUUAACAUUUAAAUGUCUUUAAAGACCAGAUUCCAUUAAUUGCUUUACAUUUCACUGAAUUUCUCUGCAAUUCCCUGUUUGCCAGUCCUUUACAGAGACAGCUCCCUCGGCCUCUCAUGGAAACCAUGGCUUCUCCAGUGCAUGGGCUCCUCCACACAAUGCACACAUGCAGAGCCCUGUGUCCCUGCACAGCUGCAGACAGAGCCAGGGGAAAUUACAGUCUCAUAGAGACUUAUCAGUGCAAAAGAACUACAACACAUUGCAGAAAGCUGAAAGCCACUCUUAGCACACAUAUACAUAAGAAACCUUAUGUAUAUUCUAUUCCUAGCACUCAGGGCUGUUUUCCAGUUGUCACACACAGAGGUGCUGUGCAUACCCAGAGGCAGCAGAAGUAGUAUUCUUAAUUUGUUAUUGAUUAUUUGAUGGCUCCCUAUUUAAUCAGUCAUGUAUUUGUCAGUGGAACAUAAUAGCUGAACACAAGUAGCUCUUCAGGGAAUAAACCAUAAUACCCCAAAAGGAAUUUUGUGCCACAUUGUCUGAAAAGGCCACUUUAAAACACAGGGUUUGUUUGGGUUUUGUUUCUUUUGUUUGUUUUUGAUUUGGUUUGGUUUCCUUAGGGGAUGAAGGGGGUUAGGUUUUGUUUUGGCUUUUUUUAAAUUCUCCAAGCCUGCUCUUGGAGGCAUAAAAUGUAAUGUUACACCCACGUACAGAUUUGCAGUAGCAAACUUGAUUGUAUGGCCAAAUUACCUUAUUUUUGCUUUCCAAAAAUCCCUUUCACAUGUACGGAAGUUAUGUUUUUAACGUGUGAAUAGAAAUGUCUGGGAAUUUUGUAAUCUCUCAAAUGUGCAAAGAAGGCUUUGCUGUAAAAAAUAUUUAUUUUGAAUGUAAACUAAAGCCAAACCUGAUGUCUAGAAUUUAAUGUCUUUAGUCAAAACUGAAAGAAAACUUCAGGGUGUGGCCUCAAUACAUUAAACCAAGUGUCCAUCUAUA